UGGGACGGGGUUCCAGAGAAAGACGGACGAUGUAGCCCAGCUUGCUGGGUGGAUUAGUGGCGAACGGGUGAGUAACACGUGAGCAACCUGCCCCUGACUCUGGGAUAAGCGCUGGAAACGGCGUCUAAUACUGGAUAUGUCCCGUCACCGCAUGGUGUGCGGGUGGAAAGAUUUUUCGGUUGGGGAUGGGCUCGCGGCCUAUCAGCUUGUUGGUGAGGUAAUGGCUCACCAAGGCGUCGACGGGUAGCCGGCCUGAGAGGGUGACCGGCCACACUGGGACUGAGACACGGCCCAGACUCCUACGGGAGGCAGCAGUGGGGAAUAUUGCACAAUGGGCGGAAGCCUGAUGCAGCGGGGCCGCGUGAGGGAUGACGGCCUUCGGGUUGUAAACCUCUUUUGGCAGGGAAGAAGCGAGAGUGACGGUACCUGCAGAAAAAGCACCGGCUAACUACGUGCCAGCAGCCGCGGUAAUACGUAGGGUGCAAGCGUUAUCCGGAAUUAUUGGGCGUAAAGAGCUCGUAGGCGGUCUGUCGCGUCUGCUGUGAAAUCCCGAGGCUCAACCUCGGGCUUGCAGUGGGUACGGGCAGACUAGAGUGCGGUAGGGGAGAUUGGAAUUCCUGGUGUAGCGGUGGAAUGCGCAGAUAUCAGGAGGAACACCGAUGGCGAAAGGCAGAUCUUCUGGGCCGUAACCUGACCGCUUGAAGGAAGCGAAAGGGUGGGGAGCAAACAGGCUUAGAUACCCUGGUAGUCCACCCCGUAAACGUUGGGAACUAGUUGUGGGGUCCUUUCCACGGAUUCCGUGACGCAGCUAACGCAUUAAGUUCCCCGCCUGGGGAGUACUAUUUUCAAGGCUAAAACUCAAAGGAAUUGACGGGGACCCGCACAAAGCGGCGGAGCAUGCGGAUUAAUUCGAUGCAACGCGAAGAAACCUUUACCAAGGCUUGACAUACACGAGAACGGGCCAGAAAUGGUCAACUCUUUGGACACUCGUGAAACAGGUGGUGCAUGGUUUGUCGUCAGCUCGUGUCGUGAGAUGUUUGGGGUUAAAGUCCCGCAACGAGCGCAACCCUCGUUCUAUGUUUGCCCAGCACGUAAUGGUGGGAACUCAUGGGAUUACUGGCCCGGGGUUCAACUUCGGAGGGAAGGGUGGGGGAUGAACGUCAAAUCAUUCAUGCCCCUUAUUGUCCUUGGGGCCUUCACGCCAUGCCUACAAAUGGCCCGGUAACAAUUGGGCCUUGUGCAGAUUAC
rnacentral:rRNA from 1 species